rnacentral:rRNA from 1 species
ACGCCGCGUGCAGGAGGACGGCCUUCGGGUUGUAAACUGCUUUUGAGGGGGGAUAAUGACGGUACCCGGCGAAUAAGCCCCGGGUAACUCCGUGCCAGCAGCCGCGGUAAGACGGAGGGGGCAAGCGUUGUCCGGACUUACUGGGCGUAAAGAGCGCGUAGGCGGCUCGGUGCGUCCGUGCUGAAAGCGGUCGGCUUAACCGGGGGAGGGUGGCCGAUACUACCGGGCUCUAGGCCGUGGAAGGAGAGCGGAAUUCCGGGUGUAGUGGUGAAAUGCGUACAUAUCCGGAGAACGCCUGUGGGGAAGCCGGCUCUCUGGGGCUGACCUGAUCUUGAGGGCGAAAAGCGUGGGAGCAAACCGGAUUAGAUACCCGGGUAGUCCACGCAGUAAACGAUGUCGGCUCGGUGUGUGGGGGUGCAAUCGCACCGCUGGCUGCCCAAGCUCACUCGUUAAGCCGACCGCCUGGGGACUACGAGCGCAAGCUUAAAACCCAAAGGAAUUGACGGGGGCCCGCACAAGCAGCGGAGCGUGUGGUUUAAUUCGACGCACCCCGAAGAACCUUACCCAGGCUUGACCUGUACCUGCAUUCCGGGGAAACCCGGGCGCCUUCCAGGGGGCUACACAGAUGCUGCAUGGCUGUCGUCAGCUCGUGUCGGGAAAUGUUGGGUUAAGUCCCGCAACGAGCGCACCCCUCGUCGCUAGUUACUCGUGUCUAGGGAGACAGCCGCCUUGAUGGGCGGAGGAAGGGGGGGAUGACCUCAAGUCCGCAUGGCUCUUACCCCUGGGGUCGACCCACCCCCUACAAUGGGCCACGACAUGGCGCCUGAAAUUCCUGAAGGGGGGAGCAAAUUGCCAAA